rnacentral:tRNA from 1 species
AUUUGAAUAGUUUAAGAAGAAUAUUAAUUUGUGGAAUUAAAGGUUAUAAAUUAUUAUAGUUAAAU